rnacentral:lncRNA from 1 species
UAUUAAGCAACUCAAAGUUUAAUUUAAAAAUUUUCCUCAAUUUAAUUUUUCAUCCAUCUGGAAAUGCUAGAAUUGGUGAAAUUGUGUAUGUGCAUGCUGGAGGGAAGGAAAACGUUGGCAAAGGUUGGUGCACAAGGGCUUUUUGGAAGGGCAGGAGACUUGACCACAGCGAGGUCGGUCCCACAUCUCUAACUGCCACUGCGGACUAAGAAGACUCUGCAGCUGAGGGUCUCUCGAAGGAAGGCUGAUCCCUUGAAUCCAAAUGAACACAGUGUCUAGGGAAGAGGUGUGAUGUGGAAGAAAAUCCCGAGUAAUGAUAGGCAUGUUAAUCUGGGGCGAUCAUUCCCUAUUUUGUGCCAGAGAAGUACAACACAAUUGUGACAGCAACUGGAUGAGACUGCGGUGGGAUACAUCUGCUCUACCAAAAGUGAGACAGCCAGUCUGAACCCACCACCUGGCUCCUCCAGUACCCUGAAAAGAGACAAGCAUCAGCAGAAGGAAAUAUAACUUCAAAAACUGUGAUACCUAGUCCUACAUCAACAACAAAAACAGCAGGAGACACAACUACAACAACUGUGACACCUACUGCUAACUCUAAAACAGAUGCAUCAUCAGGUAAGAAUGAAAAAUCCAGCAGGCUGCCCCUUAUGAGGACAUAUUGGGGUUACUCACUGCAUGGAGCUCCAGAGCCCUGACACUCAGUGGCGUAUUCCCCUGCCUGGUCUACCCUUAGUUUCUCUGGGGGAGGAGUCUCAGAGCCCCUGGACAAGGCUGAAUGUCCUCUCCUGACAUUUUUUCCUUCCUGGCUGGCCUUUGCUGUGAGGGAGGAGUGCUGGGGAGGACUUCACAACCUGGUCCUCUCCUGGUGAGGCUCUC